rnacentral:RNase_P_RNA from 3 species
CGAGUCGGACGGGUGACGGCUCCGUGGUUUCGACCUCGGGGAGGAAAGUCCGGACUUCAUAGGGCACGGCGCCCGGCGCAAGCCGGGGCGGGGUAACCCGACGGAAAGUGCAACAGAAACAAACCGCCUCAGUUGGGAUGCGGGGACAGAGGUUCCAACCUCUGCGUCUCGCCUCCCAACGCGGGUAAGGGUGAAAUAGUGAGGUAAGAGCUCACUGGUGGUCCGGGUAACCGGCCACCGGGCAAACCCCACCGGAAGCAAGGCCAAAUAGGGACGGGUUGAUGUGGCCCGCGGACCGUCCGGGUUGGCCGCGUAGAUAAAUCGUCACACAAACACAGAAUCCGGCUUACAGACCGACUCGCAGU